rnacentral:rRNA from 1 species
ACAAAAACAUCUUUUCUUGUUAGUUUUUGAAGUAUGGCCUGCCCACUGACAUUAUUGGUUGAAGGGCCGCGGUAUUUUGACCGUGCAAAGGUAGCAUAAUCAUUAGUUCUUUAAUUGUGAUCUGGUAUGAAUGGCUUGACGAGACAUGGACUGUCUUAAAAGUAUUACUUUAUUGAAUUUAGUCUUUGAGUUAAAAUUCUUAGAUGUUUUUAUGGGACGAGAAGACCCUAUAGAGUUUAACAUUUCCUCUUCUUUUGUGUUGGUGUUUGAUUUAUUUGUUUUAAGUUGAUUGAGUGUUUUGUUGGGGUGAUGGGAGGAAUAAAAUUUAACUCCUCUUUGGUUUGGUAUAUUUAUUUAUAUUUAUUUUGAUCCAUUUAUUUUGAUUAUAAGAUUAAAUUACCUUAGGGAUAACAGCGUUAUCUUCCUUGAGAGUUCUUAUUGGCGGGGAGGUUUGCGACCUCGAUGUUGGAUUAAGGUGAAUUUCGGUGCAGGAGCUGAAAGUGAU